AGAAUACUGAUUCACGAGCUUUCAUUCCUGCAUUUGAGCUUCACUGAUCAGACUACAAUUGCUGCAUUUCUUACACUGGUUCCUUGUGUUUUGGCUUUUCUACAGAGAGCAGUUCAUAUAUCGGCUGUUACUUUGAUUGCACUUUUUCUGUGUUUUGCCUUCUACCAAUUUUUAGUUUAUAGAUAGAUACAU